rnacentral:rRNA from 1 species
ACGACUUCUCAACUGUCUCAACCAUAGACUCGGCGAAAUUGCACUACGAGUAAAGAUGCUCGUUACGCGCGGCAGGACGAAGAGACCCCGGGACCUUCACUAUAGCUUGGUAUUGGCGUUUGGUUCGGUUUGUGUAGGAUAGGUGGGAGACUGUGAAGCAGGCACGCCAGUGUUUGUGGAGUCAUCGUUGAAAUACCACUCUGAUCGUAUUGAACCUCUAACCUCGGACCGUAUAUCCGGUCCAGGGACAGUGCCUGGUGGGUAGUUUAACUGGGGCGGUUGCCUCCCAAAAUGUAACGGAGGCGCCCAAAGGUUCCCUCAACCUGGACGGCAAUCAGGUGUUGAGUGCAAGUGCACAAGGGAGCUUGACUGCGAGACCUACAAGUCAAGCAGGGACGAAAGUCGGGACUAGUGAUCCGGCACCUCUGAGUGGAAGGGGUGUCGCUCAACGGAUAAAAGGUACCCCGGGGAUAACAGGCUGAUCUUCCCCAAGAGUCCAUAUCGACGGGAUGGUUUGGCACCUCGAUGUCGGCUCGUCGCAUCCUGGGGCUGGAGCAGGUCCCAAGGGUUGGGCUGUUCGCCCAUUAAAGCGGCACGCGAGCUGGGUUUAGAACGUCGUGAGACAGUUCGGUCUCUAUCCGCCGCGCGCGUCAGAAACUUGAGGAAACCUGUCCCUAGUACGAGAGGACCGGGACGGACGAACCUCUGGUGUACCAGUUGUUCCACCAGGAGCACGGCUGGAUAGCUACGU